rnacentral:rRNA from 1 species
AACUGAAGAGUUUGAUCAUGGCUCAGAUUGAACGCUGGCGGCAGGCUUAACACAUGCAAGUCGAGCGGGGGAAGGUAGCUUGCUACCGGACCUAGCGGCGGACGGGUGAGUAAUGCUUAGGAAUCUGCCUAUUAGUGGGGGACAACAUCUCGAAAGGGAUGCUAAUACCGCAUACGUCCUACGGGAGAAAGCAGGGGAUCUUCGGACCUUGCGCUAAUAGAUGAGCCU